rnacentral:rRNA from 1 species
GAUUAACGCUGGCGGCGUGCAUAACACAUGCAAGUCGAACGAUGAAACUCAUUAGAUUUCUUCGGAAUGAAAAUGAAUGGAUUAGUGGCGAACGGGUGAGUAACGCGUGAGUAACCUGCCUUACACAAGGGGAUAGCCUCUGGAAACGGAGAAUAAUACCCUAUGAAACCAGACAAUCGCAUGAUAAUCUGGUCAAAAUGUUUAGUGGUGUAAGAUGGACUUGCGUCUGAUUAGCUAGUUGGUGAGAUAAAAGCUCACCAAGGCAACGAUCAGUAGCCGGCUUGAGAGAGUGUACGGCCACAUUGGGACUGAGACACGGCCCAGACUCCUACGGGAGGCAGCAGUGGGGAAUUUGGCACAAUGGGGGAAACCCUGAUGCAGCGACGCCGCGUGAUUUAGAAGGCCUUCGGGUUGUAAAAAUCUUUUGUAUAGGAAGAAAAUGACAGUACUAUACGAAUAAGGUCCGGCUAAGUACGUG